rnacentral:rRNA from 1 species
GACGAACGCUGGCGGCGUGCCUAAUACAUGCAAGUCGAGCGGACGAUUCGAAAGCUUGCUUUUGAAUCGUUAGCGGCGGACGGGUGAGUAACACGUGGGCAACCUGCCCUGUAGACGGGGAUAACACCGAGAAAUCGGUGCUAAUACCGGAUAACACGAAAUGUCGCAUGACGUUUCGUUGAAAGGCGGCGCAAGCUGCCGCUACAGGAUGGGCCCGCGGCGCAUUAGCUAGUUGGUGAGGUAACGGCUCACCAAGGCGACGAUGCGUAGCCGACCUGAGAGGGUGAUCGGCCACACUGGGACUGAGACACGGCCCAGACCCCUACGGGAGGCAGCAGUAGGGAAUCUUCCGCAAUGGACGAAAGUCUGACGGAGCAACGCCGCGUGAGCGAAGAAGGCCUUCGGGUCGUAAAGCUCUGUUGUUAGGGAAGAACAAGUAACGUAGUAACUGACGUUACUAUGACGGUACCUAACGAGAAAGCCACGGCUAACUACGUG